rnacentral:misc_RNA from 1 species
AGGUGAACCUGCGGAAGGAUCAUUAAAAGAUAUGGCAUAUUCCAUGUGGAUAUACCCAAUCAACCCAUUCUGAGUACCUUACCUGUUGCUUCCACACAGUGUCAGUGCAUUAGUACUGACAUUCAGACGAUAGUGAAAACUUAUCCGAUGGAGAUGUGUGGAGGAUAUACAUUAAACUCUUGCAUUACCAUGUAUUCUGUCUGAUUAUGUUUAAUACAAAAUAUUAAAACUUUCAACAACGGAUCUCUUGGUUCUCG